rnacentral:rRNA from 1 species
GCGGUGCCUUAGAGCCACAAGUGAUUGAGCCAUGCCGCCUAGAAAAGCUUCUAAGCGUUGAUAUUUGAGUGACCGUACCGCAAACCGACACUGGUAGGUGGGUAGAAUAUACCAAGGGGAGCGAGAGAACCCUCGUUAAGGAAUUAGGCAAAUUUCCCCCGUACGUUCGCAAUAAGGGGGGCCUCUGGUGGUGAGCUUAAUCGCAAAGCUGCUGGAGGCCGCAGAGAAAUGGCUCUUCCAACUGUUUAACAAAAACACAGGUCUCUGCUAAGUCGAAAGACGAAGUAUAGGGGCUGACGCCUGCCCAGUGCUGGAAGGUUAAGGGGAGAGGUUAGGCGCAAGCCGAAGCUUUGAGCCGAAGCCCCAGUGAACGGCGGCCGUAACAAUAACGGUCCUAAGGUAGCGAAAUUCCUUGUCGGGUAAGUUCCGACCCGCACGAAUGGCGUAAUGAGAGGAGCGCUGUCUCAACGAGGGACUCGGCGAACAUUGAAGGACGUGUGAAGAUACACGUGACCCGCAGCGGGACAAAAAGACCCCGUGAAGCUUUACUACAACUUGCCAUUGAGUUAGGGCUAAACCUGUGUAGUAUAGGUGGGAGGCUUUGAAGCUGGGACGCCAGUCUCGGUGGAGCCACCGUUGAAAUACCACCCUGGUUUAUUCUUGGCUCUAACCUGUCGCCGUUAUCCGGCAUGGGAACAGUGGCUGGUGGGUAGUUUGACUGGGGCGGUCGCCUCCGAAAGCGUAACAGAGGCGCCCAAAGGUUCCCUCAGGCUGAAUGGAAACCAGCCGUUGAGUGUAAAGGCACAAGGGAGCUUGACUGCAAGACCAACAAGUCGCGCAGGGACGAAAGUCGGGCUUAGUGAUCCCACGGUUCAGAGUGGAAUGGCCGUGGCUUACCGGAUAAAAGCUACUCCGGGGAUAACAGGGUAGUCUGGUCCAAGAGUUCAUAUCGACGACCAGGUUCGCCACCUCGAUGUCGGCUCAUCACAUCCUGGGGCUGGCUAAGGUCCCAAGGGUUGGGCUGUUCGCCCAUUAAAGUGGUACGUGAGCUGGGUUCAGACCGUCGUGAGACAGGUCGGUCUCUAUCCGCUGUGGGCGUAAGGGAUUUGAGAGAAGCUGCCCCUAGUACGAGAGGACCGGGGUGGACGGACCUCUAGUGUGCCAGUUGUUCUGCCAAGAGCAUUGCUGGGUAGCUACGUCCGGCAGAGAUAACCGCUGAAAGCAUCUAAGUGGGAAACUCGUCUCAAGAUUAGAUCCCUCAUCCGUAUGGAGUAAGACCGCUAGAAGACUACUAGUUUGAUAGGCGGCAGGUGUAAGCGCAGUAAUGUGUUCAGCUUAGCCGUACUAAUGGUCGAGGGCUUACGUUU